rnacentral:tRNA from 1 species
GCCUGGGUGGCUCAGUCGGUUGAGCAUCUGACUUCGGUUCAGGUCAUGAUCUUGUGGUUUGUGGGUUCGAGCCCCGCGUCAGGCU